GUAUAGGGGAGCCGUAGAGAAAUCGAGUCUUAAUAGGGCGUUUAGUUGCUGGGUAUAGACCCGAAACCAGGCGAUCUAUCCAUGAGCAGGUUGAAGGUUGGGUAACACUAACUGGAGGACCGAACCCACUGUCGUUGAAAAGCCAGGGGAUGACUUGUGGAUAGGGGUGAAAGGCUAAUCAAGCCUGGUGAUAGCUGGUUCUCCCCGAAAGCUAUUUAGGUAGCGCCUCGGACGAAUACCAUAGGGGGUAGAGCACUGUUUCGGCUAGGGGGUCAUCCCGACUUACCAAACCGAUGCAAACUCCGAAUACCUAUGAGUACUAUCCGGGAGACAGACUGCGGGUGCUAACGUCCGUAGUCAAGAGGAAAACAAUCCAGACCGCCAGCUAAGGCCCCAAAAUCAUAGUUAAGUGGGAAACGAUGUGGGAAGGCAUAGACAGCUAGGAGGUUGGCUUAGAAGCAGCCACCCUUUAAAGAAAGCGUAAUAGCUCACUAGUCGAGUCGGCCUGCGCGGAAGAUGUAACGGGGCUAAAA
rnacentral:rRNA from 1 species